CGCUGCGCUCGUUCGUAAAAUAUUGUUUUCACCACUCGAAGAUAAAAUAGAGAAUAAUACAUGGGUGCGCGGGAAUACCAGAUUUAUUUCUCGUGUUGAACAUGAUAUCUCACGAGUGAGCGCAGCGAACGAGUGAGAUAUCAUGUUCAACACGAGAAAUAAAUCUGGUAUUUCCAAGCACCCAUGUAUUUUUCUGUUUAUUAUAUAAAAAAAUUCAGUGAAAAACAAUAAAACGUCCGUGGCAAUGCGUUUUACAACAAAUGAUAUUUUCAC